rnacentral:tRNA from 1 species
GCAGUGACUGUAUAGUGGUUAGCACUCUGUGUUGUGGCCACAGCAACCAUGGUUCAAAUCUGAGUCAUGACA